rnacentral:lncRNA from 1 species
ACGGAGGUUUAUCGCUGCAAGCAUUUUGUUCUCACAGACUAACCUCGCAUCACAACGAGGCCGUGACCUCCUAUUAGCUCGGAGCUAUGUCUGCAAGUCCAGAUUUACAUGAUGCCGAUAAUGACGCCAUCGUGUCUGCCUGUAAGACAUUCAGAGACGGUACGCAGGAGCUUCAGGUACAAACAACCAGAUCUUGCAUCGCAGGCGGAAGCUGUGAGGAGUUCAGCUCGGAGUCAAAGAGGCUGCUGGAAGCCAGAUUGUGUGCUAGAUGAGGAUGAGGUGGACCAUUGCAAGUGCGCCACAAUGGACCUGAUGUCUGAGGAGGAAGACGGCGGGGUGUCUGGAUGGAGCCAGGAGCUCACCGAGCUUUGUGCCGCGCUGCAGUCGAGAUUAGAGGCGAUUCCGAAGUACAGAGCGACGCACCACAGACGUCUGCAAAACGGACAGAAUUCAUACAGGAGGCCGGCAGUUACC